AGUGAAUGAAGGGAAGCUUGUUCCGGUGGAGAUAAUUUUUGCCAUUGGUAAUAGCUUGUCCUUCUAAGUAGCUCUUUGUCACCCCAUAAAUAUAUUUUGUGUGGUGUGGAAAAUUUACCUUUUGCGUGUGGAAACUUUGAUCAAUCUUCACAAAUCAUGCAUUUACGCGUGAGAUACCACCUGUCUGCUCCUUUUUCUGAGUGUGUUAGGUUUCACAAUUAUGACAUUCGUGCUGUUUGCCUUGAUUAGUUGUGUUGAGUAAAGGAAAAAUGAGUAUAGGUUAGGCUAUUGGCGGUUUCAUGAUAUUGGAAUAGGGACAAAUCGGUGUUAACACGCGCGUGAAAAAACAAUGAAUUGGCCUUUAAAAAUCUCACUGUCCGGAUCAAUGGUGGUCAUUCCUAGCUCAAUCAACUACUUAUAAUUACCUCACCCUUACUUACUGGUGCUGGAGGGUUUGGUGAAUUUGAGAUAGUUCUUUUCUUUAGUUGAAACUUUUUUUUUUUUUUUUUUUGGCAACUAAAUGUCGAUUAGUGUAAAAGAUGUUUGUUCAAGUUAUUUGGUUAUCAUGAA